UCUGAAGUAUAUGUGACGUUCAGAUGAC
rnacentral:piRNA from 1 species